rnacentral:rRNA from 1 species
UAGGGAAUCUUCGGCAAUGGACGAAAGUCUGACCGAGCAACGCCGCGUGAGUGAAGAAGGUUUUCGGAUCGUAAAACUCUGUUGUUAGAGAAGAACAAGGACGUUAGUAACUGAACGUCCCCUGACGGUAUCUAACCAGAAAGCCACGGCUAACUACGUGCCAGCAGCCGCGGUAAUACGCAGGUGGCAAGCGUUGUCCGGAUUUAUUGGGCGUAAAGCGAGCGCAGGCGGUUUCUUAAGUCUGAUGUGAAAGCCCCCGGCUCAACCGGGGAGGGUCAUUGGAAACUGGGAGACUUGAGUGCAGAAGAGGAGAGUGGAAUUCCAUGUGUAGCGGUGAAAUGCGUAGAUAUAUGGAGGAAAACCAGUGGCGAAGGCGGCUCUAUGGUAUGUAACUGACGCUGAGGCUCGAAAGCGUGGGGAGCAAACAAG